CAAAGAUUUCCCUUCUGCGAUAAUCAGCGGCUGUAAGGAAGAGAGUGCAGGGCCUUCUGCUCUCUGUCUUGCAGGAAGCCUGCCCAGUCUCAAGCAUGGUUGCAUUCACCUGCAUACAUGGAGGGUAAGGGAGACGCAUGUUUCCUGCUGCAGCCCCAUUGCCAAGGGACCCAAAAGAUUCUCCUCCUAGUGAAGAACCCUCUUUACACCCUAACCUGCAAUAAAAGCCAGCGGAGCAGCCUGAACAGAAAGAAGUAGCCUCCAAAGGACCAGCCGCCUGCACUGCAAAAACCCCAGGGCAAUGCUGUGCAACAGAUGCUACAAUCCAGACAUAAUUAAUGUGCGACUGUGGGUGAUGGAGUGCAUGAAGGGAAACAGCAGGGGAAUGCUAUCGAACAAGGGCAACAGUCUGGCCCACUUGUAGCCUGCUUUCCCCCUGCCCCCCCAAUUAAGAUGAAACUAUGCGCACGCGACCUUGGGGUGGCGGGUAUUGGCACAGAGAGGCAGGGAGGGCAGAGCAGACUGCAUACUACAGCUGCUGCUCUUGCCGGGGCUUGUAAUACCCAGCAGAAGCUGGGAAACAUUUAUUCCCCUUUGGAUAUCAGCAAUGAUUUUGCCUUUUUGGAACCAAGCAUGAAAGACUGCAGCUUUCCAGCUCUGCUGCCUGCUUGCGUCCUGGGUGGAUGGGGUGCAGCAGUUUGCUUCCGUGCUAGGGUUGGCAGGAGAUUAUGAGAGUCGUUACUGAGACAGGCCUCCCAGUGAUAUCAAACACUGGCAAAUGGGCUCCUUUCAGACAGCAGCUGCCAGGAGUUAAUUAAAUCAGUGGUUGCUGUACCCACGGGGCAUGUCCAGGGUUCAUCUCUGCUGUAAGCUUUUGGGGCAGGGACCGGAAGCUGUUUUCUGUAUAAAAACAAAAUCAUUCUUAAGACCCAGAAGAGAGCCUUAAAAUCCUCAUCUCCAGGAUAACUCAGGCCCCCAAACCUUCAUCCAGUUUCCCCCUAUCUGGAGCUCCACAGCUUGUUCAUCAAUAGCUUAUCUUCCCAGGCAGACAUAUAAAUGCUGAUUGCAAGAUACCAGGAGAUGGAAAAUCCAUCCCAGCCUCAGCCAUCUGUUCCGAUAAUAAAUCGUCCUCCCUGAUAAAAACGCA